UACGGAGGGUGCAAGCGUUAUCCGGAUUCACUGGGUUUAAAGGGUGCGUAGGUGGGCUGGUAAGUCAGUGGUGAAAUCUCCAGGCUUAACUUGGAAACUGCCAUUGAUACUAUCAGUCUUGAAUACCGUGGAGGUCAGCGGAAUAUGUCAUGUAGCGGUGAAAUGCUUAGAUAUGACAUAGAACACCAAUUGCGAAGGCAGCUUGCUACAGGGAUAUUGACACUGAGGCACGAAAGCGUGGGGAUCAAACAGG
rnacentral:rRNA from 1 species